rnacentral:rRNA from 1 species
AGCGAACGCUGGCGGUAGGCCUAACACAUGCAAGUCGAACGGCAGCAUCGUAAGUGCUUGCUCUCACGGGUGGCGCGUGGCGGACGGGUGCGGAAUACAUCGGAAUCUACUUUUUCGUGGGGGAUAACGUAGGGAAACUUACGCUAAUACCGCAUACGACCUCCGUGUGAAAGCAGGCGAUCGUCGAACCUUGCGCGAUUGAAUGAGCCGAUGUCGGAUUAGCUAGUUGGCGGGGUAAAGGCGCACCAAGGCGACGAUCCGUAGCUGGCCUGAGAGCAUGAUUCAGCAGCCGGGCAGUGAGGCACGGUCGCGACACUGGCAGUGGGACGCAGCGGGGAAUACUGGGCGAGGCGGCAGUGCCUGAUCCAGCGAUACCGGGGAGAGGAAGAAGGCGUCCGGGUUGGAGAAUCCUUUUGUUGUGAAAGAAAAGCAACUGUUUAAUCCGCCGCUAUUCUGACGGUACCCAAAGAAUAAGCACCGGCUAACUUCGUG